GGCUGGUAUCAGUUCCCAGAAGGCUCCAUCCUUAGCCUGUCUUUUUCUUCCAUCUCUCAUGGUUUGCACUGUAACAUUUCUGAGCCUUGGUUUGCACUCAAUGUUUACCCGACUCCUGUGGGGAUGCUGGUUUGUAGACAGAACAUAGCCAAACAUCUCAAGGGUGUGUUUGUAUCGUUUCUCGAAGGGUCAUCUUCUAUCUAUGAGCUUCAAAGGUCGGAGUGUUCUGGAGAAAGUAAACUCACCUCAUACCUGCGUAGGAUGUUCCGAAGGCUGUGCGUUCCUUGCCAGCAUGGCCUCAGCAGCAGCUUUGUAGUGUGUUGGGAUGAGCACUGGGCUGGACAGGGGCAGGGAUUUUCAUCUUCUUUACAGGAUGUACUACAUACUUGAAAUAGCAUCUAGAAAAAUAUUUUUGAACGAAUACAAUUAUGUCUGCCUAUGGAUUGAUUUGAGCUCAAGCAGCAUAGAGCAGUGUUGAGAUCUGGACAAUGUUGAAUCCUUGGCUGGGAGAUCAGCACAUUUUUUAAGAGCUGACAGCCACCCCUGCACGCUGCAGUGUAGAAUUAAUGAAGACACAAGUAUAAGGAAGCCUCUAAUUGAAUGCAGCAUAGAGCAAGCAGAGUCGAACACACAGCAUUCCCAGCUGAAAUCCCACGUGUUGGCUUCUAACCCUCCUGGACGGCCGGCACAAGAAAAUAUUUCUGGGCUGUGUCUCGGGCAGCCUGUUCUAUCCGCGUGGCCAAAAGAGAACAAGCAUGGCCUGUCUCCUGGAUAGAGGCACUGGGUUAUCUGGAAUCCAAGAUUGCCUUUGGUAAAGCUCUUGUUGGGUUGGCUAAAAGGCAUGGCAUAGGAGAGAAAAGAAAGAACCCCAAGAAACAGAGGUGUUUGGGCAGGAGCCCUCUGCUAUAGUUCAUGUCUGUUACCAGUUCGUGUGUGACAGCUCUGGUUGGCUGGAGGUGGACAGCCCUUCUCCAUCACUCCGGGCAAGCUCCAUCAAUCCCCUGCUUGGUCUUGUACAUCCCUCGAUAUGCAGAUUCCCAUGUGAGGCAGAAUGGGAACACAUCUUCCUUUCAGAAUUCCUGGUUGGUGAUUCAUAGCAUGGUUAUCCAGCUGCUUUGUCUCCUGGGGCCAUCCCUGGGGAUGAUCCCCCCGCCCCCCCGCCCUACCACCAUGUUUGGUCCUUGCUGCUGUGUGACUUUCUGGUGGGGGGUGGGGUGGAAAUUGCUGAGUGGCCUACAACAGAUCUGAACCUGAGAUGACCAAAGGAAUCCUGGGUAUGUGCAUCACUGGGCCCCUUCAGCCAGCUGCUGCUGGAGCUGUUGAGUGCAGGCUGGCUUGACUCGGAUCCCCUGGGGUCAUUUCCACACAUUUCACAUGCCUUGUGUUUCCUGUGUCACCAAACCAUGCUAUUUAGUUGUAAAGGGUCUCCUCUGGCAGGUCAAGGCUGUGGACACCUCCUUUCAAAUCCCAGGUGCUGUGUUGGCUUGUGGAGACCCUGGCAGAUUUGUGCAGUGACCCUGACUCCUCAUGCCCCAUCCUUUUGGUUAAAGGCAUGCAGCUGCAUUGCUGCUUAAUGUGUGGGCAGUGCUCUACCGGCAGGAGGUAGUGGCACGGCUCAGAGAACGGGGCCAUGUGUACAGCCUAGCUCUGCCCUCAGCACCAGAGCUGCAGGGAAGUCCCUGGGUGUCUGCAGAGCAGGUGGCCUCCGUCUGAACACCCAGCUCUGUCAGCUGUUGAGAGCCCUAGUUGGAAGAAGCAUUCCAGGGACAUUCCUUCUGUCUGGAGCAGGGACUUGGCUUGAACCUUGAACCAAAAAAACCAGAACAAGCUGCACCAGUUUGCUCCACCUCAAAACAAAUGCUUUUUUUUUUUCCUUCCUUAAUAGCACUGAGAACAAAACCCAAGUUCUGGGGUUGGCGUGCUUUGUUUUCCCACUGGGGAACAGUUAGGAAACAAGACUAAACUGGUUCUUCUGACUGACUGAGAGGGGAGGAAGAGGGCCUCUGCACGGGCCUUGGGUUUACUCAGUUAGCUCCCAUGCAGGUUGAUACUAGAAGAUAUGGCAAGGUCUGUGGAGAUUGUAUGAGGGUAUCUGCAGGCUGGAGAGGCUGAGGAGGCUGAGGCUCUGACCUGGGCAACCUGUAUGGGGGAAGAAAUGUGUGGAGUUUGAAGCCUCCUGGCAGCCACAGGGAAGGGUGCAGAAGCCCCCAGAGCAAACUGGCCCAGGAAAUACCCUUCUUUUUGAAGAAAAGUAGUUGCUUCUUCUGUGUCACGUGACCCUUUCACCCUGACAUGCACAAUGCUACCUACCUAAGUGAACACCUUCUCACAGUGCCACUCCUGACUGGAGGGGCUUUUACCACUCUGUGUAUUCAUUUCGUUCAUGUCACUUGUUUUUCUGUCUGCUUAGGAGCUGUAUCUGAAUCUACUGAUAUUUUAGCUACUGUCUUUUCCUCAUGGCCUGAAGUCAGCACCCUGCUACCCAGACCGUGGCCUGGCAGGAUUUCUGUCCUGUUGGCACCAGCUGACCAACAAAUGUUGUCUUCAUCUAAGUUGUUCUGUUUACCAAUAAACUCAGGAGUCAGAUGUUGGGGUGGAAACCUGCUAGAUCAGAGGAGCCAAGAAGCAACCAGCUCACCUUCCUUUUCGGCCAGAGGCGAAGCAAGAAAAGUGUCUCUACUUAUCCCAAACCAAAAAGUCCUCGAAUCUCUAAGUCCCUUCCUCUCAUUCCUGUGUCUCUCUAUCCAUAUUGCUGGGUCCUCCAUACUCUCUAUGGCUCAUUCUUGUCAACUAGUCACUGGCUCUACCCACUGAUCCAAGGUUAAUUUUAUUAACAAUCGGCCUUGGACUUUCACUGUACAGUCGAAUAUCCAAAAACACACUGUGAUUAGAAAUAUCCAAUAGGGGCUGAGGGAUAGCUCAGCAGUAAAGGGCUAGGCUCACAACCUACCAGCCAUGCCCCACCUUCUAAAGGUCCCAUAGUCUUCAAAAUGGUACCGCAAGCCAAGCAAGGUACAUUACUCUCUGAGAGGAUGUUCCCUAGAAAUACUGUCAGAUUCUUCUAGAAGUUUGAGUCUGGAGACUGUGACUGAAUUUGUUUCCUGACCUCCUCACUCCCUCUGGAUUUACCAGGUAACCUGGGAUCUGAACCAGUCCAUCCAACACAUAACUACAGCUGAGGCUGCCAUAGGAACAUAUGUUUGCUUCCUGUCACAUUUAACCAAAGCUUGUCCACAUAAAGUGUUUCCUGGCUCUGUUACCCUGUACAGGUUGCUUAACUUCUCUGAGUCCUAAUACCUCUCUGUAUCAAAUGAAGCUAAUGCUAUCCUUCAGAAAGGUCCAUGGGAAUGAAUGUGCUAUGGUACCUCAACACUCAUGACCUCACUUGGUCCAGGGUCCCUUUCCUUCACGUGAAGAUAGCAACUGCAUGAUGGGUAGGAGGGAGCUAGUGUCACAAGACAUAUUUGGCUGAUUUCAUUCGGGGUUCUAUAAAAAGGUUAAAUUUAGUUCAGAUGUAAAUUUAGCAAAUAGGUGUGAUUUGGGGUCUUAUCCCAUCCCCCUUUCUGUUUAUGGCUUGGUUCAGUCUCUGUUGCCCAAAGCAAUCAUCCACAUAGCACUAAUUAAGACAUCUGUGGAGCUCCCAAAAGUGAAAUUCCAAAACCCAGAUGCCUGCCAAAGCUUACUGGAAUUUAUCACAUUUUUUUUACAUGCUUGGUACCACCCAGUACAGCACUAGCCCUUUAUGGCAGUGGGCAGCCUGAUCAUGGAGUGCUCUGCCAGUGGCAUUCCCAGUGCCAUGCUACUAACUCUGAGCCUUUCCCCAGUUUCUUGGUCCCUAAGGAGGAAAAUAAACCUGAUUUAAUCAUUUUUGCUACGAGGAAAGGGCUUAGGAAAAAUAAAGUUGAGGUAGAUGGAUGCACCUGCCGUGGUCUUAUGAAGGCUGAAAUCUGUCUCUUCAAGUCAGACCCUGGAUCUCGGCUCCUCACUCUGUCUUUGUCUGUUCUGGAGCCACUGUCCUUCCUAACAGUUCUGUAAGAAGCCUCCUCUGUAGCUCAUGUUCUAUACCUUCUUCUCCUCCCACACACUUCCCAGGACAACCUGAUGCAGACUGGGGUAUGAAAGGGAAAGGAGAAAGUGCAUAGUCACAGAUGAAAAGUGAUGGAUGAGAGCAAGUGAGGCAGUGGACACAAAGCACGAGAAAGAUGUCGUAGAGAGAUAUCCACCCUGCCCACACCUGUGGUGCUGACCAUGUCUGUUUGAGCGUGGUCACAGGUUCAGACGUGACGGACGGUGGUUUUAGGUCUGGGGUCGGGGACAAGCUGCUCUCUCUUCCUUCCAGUAGGGUCACAGAGAGCAGCCUGGGUGAAUCCUUGGAGUGGGAACUUGCAUCCAUGCAUCCAUAUCUGGCACCCAACGUGUGGCUCGAACCCACAACCCUGGGAUUAAAAGUCCCAAGCUCUCCCGAUUGAGCUAGCUGGGCUGUUACUAUUUGACCCGUGACACCUCCAGGCUCGAAUCUUUUCAAGACUGAAGCCUGGUUGACAGAGGUAUGUCAGUAGAUGGUUAGCCUAUGAAGGUCAGACCUGCUUCUCUGUUUCACUGGCUUGCUAGCUCUACUUCCUGGUCAGUUGACAUUCUAGCAAGCCUCUGUCACAUGUGUCUGCCGUCCCACCAAGGUGAACAAAAAGCUUUCUGAAACCGUGGGUCCGAAUGCCUAUGUCCUCCCUUCAAUUGUCUCUGUCAGGUAUUUUGUGGCCUUGAUGAGAAAAGUAACUACUCCAUAUUUAGAGGCUUCAGGGGAUUCUGGGAUGUUUUAUAUCAAAUCUUCGUAACAAAAUGAUGUGUGGUGCCUAUGUCAUAAGAAUCAGGUACUUGAGAGGUUGCAGGAUAUGUGUGUUUAUAAGUUUGAAAUAUCUUAUUGAAAAGCUUUAUUUUGAAAUGACUUUGGGAAGAGGAAGAGGUUGAACUUUAAAAAAAAUUGUGUCAUAUCUUUGCUAGCACAGGCAGCUUGCUCUAUGUCAUGGGAAUAUUGAAAUAUACCCUUGAUUUGAGUGGCCGAAUGACUGAGUACACCACUGAGAUAAAAUUUGAAAUCACUCCCCCACCCAUAAGCAAAUUAUACCUUUAACCCAUGGACAUAUUGCAACAAGUGAAACCCAGCUGCCUGCCAGAGCAUUCUGGAAUGUGAAGUGUUAGACCCUGGUCAAAGUUUCAGGACACUUGCACUUCUUUUGGGGUGAUAGUUUUUAUUAAUUCCUUCCAGAUUACUUUUCAAGCUUGUCCCCAGGGGAGAAGAGUAUUUGUGUAGUUGCUGCCCACAUGCCAACUCUCCUUUGUGAUCCAUAACAACGUAAAGCUUGUUGGAUUGUCUCCCAGGUUCUAGAAGGAUGCCAUGUCACGAGUGGCCCUUCACAAUUAGCCUUGUUUGUGGGGACCAUGUAAGUGUUCUCAGACCCUGAUCUCAGGGUCCUCCAUGGAUUUCUGAUGAUGGUCUGUGGGCACCAGGGAGGGGCAGGGUAGUGAGUUCAUGUCCAGUGGCAUAGGGAAGCUCUAAUUCAUAUCCAAGGUGGUCAAGGACUAAGGGAGCACUAUUUAUGGAGCCUUGAACCCCUUCAUUAUGAGACAGUGCCAUUCAGAUGUCUUUUUUGGGUGUGUGUUGAGGUAUGUAAUUAGCCUGCCCUUGGCUUUGAGCUUUCAGAACACGGAGAGGCUCACACACGAGGAUCUCACACAUCUAGCUACACUGUCUGAUUCUGGGAAAAGUGACAGGGUGACCUUAGCUAGUCUUCCCAGACUUGACCCAGACAAAACCAAGGGGUCUGAGUCCGGGUGAAACUCAGAAGCCAGGGAUAGACAUCUUGGAAGGACUUUUUUCAGUCUUCUCUGUGUGGUGAUGUACUACACCAAAUGUUACUGAGUAAAUGGAAGAGCUCUCUGUGGUUAAAGCUGCAAUGGUCAGGACAACAAAACAAAACAGUCAAUUCUGUAUGGCUCAGAGUACAGAAGGGAUAUUCACAAGUUCACACAGAUGCAAAUAAAUGAUCAAUAAAUUAAUACGUGGAAAGAAGAGGCCAAUCUCCUAAAGAGAAAAAUUCCAAGAAUUCGUGUUGAUAACUACUUUAAAAUGGAUGGAAUAUAACUCCUUGUUCCUCAGAUGUAAGUUACAGGCUUAGGUGACUUCAUGGUGGUAUGAAUGUCACAUUGCAUGCUUGUACAAAACCUAGGUGGUCUAGCCUACAACAGACAACAUGUCCAGGCUACAAAGUAUACACCAUUGUAUGGGUAGGUUAUUGACUGAAUGCUAUUGUGUAACAUGUGACAAACCUUUCCACACAUUCUUGAAUGAAUUCACAUAUUUCCUCAGAUGCUUCACACAGGUUCUGGGACAUUAACUUUCAAAACCUUUUUGGUAGCCUCUGUAUGAGGAAGAUCCUGGCCAUGAGUCUUCUUUAGGUUAGGGUCACUUGAAAUGCAUGGUACCCAGGACCACAGGGUACCAUAUAGCUAUGCUGUCUGAAGUGGUGGCCCUAUGAAAACACUGAGAAUUUGGUGCUGACAGCAGAGAAAACACAUCACAUGUUAGAGCCUUAGUGUUAGUCCCUGCUAGUCAUUUUAUGCUGCUAGUGUUGAAUGGAUACUGUUUGAAUAUACUGGGUUAAAUAGAUUGUCAAGCUUAAAUCUUCCUACUUAUUUUUCUUCUUCUUUCUUCUCUUCCUCCUUCUCCUCUCACUUUCUGGGUUUAUUGAGACAGGAUCUCUUGUAGCCUGGGAUGGCCUCAAACUCAUUAUAUAGCUGAGGAUAACGAGUUCCUGAGCCGAAUUGCCUAGUUUAUGUGGUGCUGGACACCAACCCCAGGCUUUGAGGAUGCAAGAGCACAUAUGUCUUUCUAUUACAAAUACAGCUAAGGGGUGGGGUCAUAGUCCAGUAGUAGAAUGAUUCCCCUGUAUGUCUGAAGCCCUAGGUUCAAUUACAAGUACUACAAAAACACAGUAAAUGAUUCGGGAUGCAACGAAAGCAAUCCUGAAAGAUAAUUUUAUAGCUACAUUAAAAUAAUCAGAAAGCUGCCAAAUAAAUAACUUGACAGUGUAAUUUAGAGUCUUGUGAUAAUGUGAGCAAGCCAAACUAAAAGACAAUGAGUGGAAAGAACCAAGGCAGGGCAAGAAUUAAUGAAAUAAAAACAAAAAACAAUACAAAGAGUCAAUGAAACAAAAUAGUUGGUUCUUUGACACAGUAAGCAAAAUUGACAAAACUUUAGUGAAAUGAACCAAAAGAAAGUGAAGACCCAAAUUAAUAAAAUUAGAGGUGAAAAAAUGAGACAUCAAUGAAAUUCAGAAAAUUAUUAGGAUUUCUUUGUAACUAAAACUAGAUGAAGACACAAGAAAUAAAUUACAGAUUUAUAUCUUUGAUGAGAAUAGGUGUAAAUUUUCCCAAUAAAA
rnacentral:tRNA from 1 species